UCUGUGUCCUCGCUAUGGCCCUGGCCCUCCUCGACAGACAACACUUGACCAUGCCCCUGCUGCCACAGGCACCUUCUAGGAUCACUGACUGGAAGAGUUGCAGUGCAUGGGUUCUUGAGGCGAACUGGAACGGAAGUUGGAGCAGGAACAAGCACUUGCCUGGGAGCUGGAGCUGGAGCUGGAGUUGGAACUGGAGCUGGAUCUGGAACUGAAGCUGGGACUGGAACAGGAACUGAUGAUUAGAUGUGUACAGAGAGAACUUCUGCAAGGGUCACUUUUGUAGUAGUUGGACUAGUUGAAUAGAGUGUUCUAUGAGCUAGCCAAGAGUGCUAUGAUGAAUGCUUGUUCAUUCCAACCACUUGUGGCAGCUAGUGUACAAAACUGCAAUGCCUAGGUUGCCACUUAGUGACUGCCUUGUUUUAGCUUGCACUAAAGUUCUCCAUUGGAUCAUCCCUCAUGAGAAUGAUCAAACACAGUUUUAGUCUUUCAGAAAUUGCUCAUAUGAUAAAUCUUGUAAAUGAGACCAUCCAAAGGCCGAGAGUCUAAGGCUUUCUCAGAGAGCCGUGAAACAACAAAAGCAAUCUUAGCCUGGUGUUUACUAGUGGGGGAAUGAAAGUACACAGAGCACUGUAACAGACUGCAUUUAUGAAGGGUUCCAUCAAACCUGUCUGGCUUACUCACAGGGAAUGUAGGGGUCUGACUCAUUGAAACUGGGUUUUUAGCCACGGCAACCUGAGUAGCUGAAGGAGUUGUUGAAGAAACAGUGACGUGUCACAGCUGAGCAGUGAUGUUGUUAAUUACAGCUAAGAGCUGAGAAAAAUGGGCCUGCUGCUUGGCUUGUUGUUGGCUCAAGUUGCCGACUGACAUCAGCCAGCACUUGCUGAUGACAACCCAGGGGCUGACCUUGAUUGCUCAGGACCUUCUGCACAUGUCUGGUACCUGCAUGGCGUCAAAGUAUCCUGUAAUGGUGGCAGAUGGAACCUAGCACUGAAGGUAUCAGCACAGCAAGAUCUGUGUUUUUAAUUGGGAGUGUGGUGCACCCCAAGUAUUACUCUGCAGGGCCACACCUGCUAUGUUCACCAUGCAGCUGUCCUAGCAACUCAAAAAGCCUGAAUAAAGCCUCUGGGGUGUCUCCCUCAUUUUGUGGCC